rnacentral:snoRNA from 1 species
AUUCAAUGAUGUUUGAUCAUGUAUUAGCUACUGAAUCUUUUGAUUGAAAAUUUUUUACUGAGUUU